AUGAACGCUGGCGGCGUGCCUCAUCCCUGCAAGUCGAGCGAACAGAUAAGGAGCUUGCUCCUUUGACGUUAGCGGCGGACGGGUGAGUAACACGUGGGUAACCUACCUAUAAGACUGGGAUAACUUCGGGAAACCGGAGCUAAUACCGGAUAACAUUUGGAACCGCAUGGUUCUAAAGUGAAAGAUGGUUUUGCUAUCACUUAUAGAUGGACCCGCGCCGUAUUAGCUAGUUGGUAAGGUAACGGCUUACCAAGGCGACGAUACGUAGCCGACCUGAGAGGGUGAUCGGCCACACUGGAACUGAGACACGGUCCAGACUCCUACGGGAGGCAGCAGUAGGGAAUCUUCCGCAAUGGGCGAAAGCCUGACGGAGCAACGCCGCGUGAGUGAUGAAGGGUUUCGGCUCGUAAAACUCUGUUAUUAGGGAAGAACAAAUGUGUAAGUAACUGUGCACGUCUUGACGGUACCUAAUCAGAAAGCCACGGCUAACUACGUG
rnacentral:rRNA from 1 species